CACGUAGGGGACGAGCGUUGUCCGGAUUUAUUGGGCGUAAAGAGCUCGUAGGCGGUCUGUCACGUCGGCUGUGAAAUCCCGAGGCUCAACCUCGGGUCUGCAGUCGAUACGGGCAAACUAGAGUAUUGCAGGGGAGACUGGAAUUCCUGGUGUAGCGGUGAAAUGCGCAGAUAUCAGGAGGAACACCGGUGGCGAAGGCGGGUCUCUGGGCAAUAACUGACGCUGAGGAGCGAAAGCGUGGGGAGCGAACAGG
rnacentral:rRNA from 1 species